AGAUAGAGGCGUGCUCGAAGAGAGCCGUAACACAGGUGCUGCAUGGCUGUCGUCAGCUCGUGUCGUGAGAUGUUGGGUUAAGUCCCGCAACGAGCGCAACCCUUGUCAUUAGUUGCUACAUUCAGUUGGGCACUCUAAUGAGACUGCCGGUGACAAGCCGGAGGAAGGUGGGGAUGACGUCAAGUCCUCAUGGCCCUUAUAGGUGGGGCUACACACGUCAUACAAUGGCUGGUACAAAGGGUUGCCAACCCGCGAGGGGGAGCUAAUCCCAUAAAGCCAGUCGUAGUCCGGAUCGUAGUCUGCAACUCGACUACGUGAAGUCGGAAUCGCUAGUAAUCGUGGAUCAGAAUGUCACGGUGAAUACGUUCCCGGGUCUU
rnacentral:rRNA from 1 species